CGAUUAACACGAAAACGGAAUUUAAAACAUUGGGAAUGAGCGAGAGGUUACAACACCUACAAGAGAACAACAAUGGCCUGCGAUCAACACCAAAACCGUUCUGACAUGGAUAGCAUGACAAGGAUAAUAAAUUGUUGACAGUGAAGAAACCUCAGUGUUUGUAAUUUGCGCUGGUCGAUGUCCAAUAAAUAUUGCCUUUUUUUGACACAUUGUUUUUGACGUUUAUAUGCGAAGCCUUAAUACAACCUUUUCUAUACUAUCAGUUGCAAAUAGACGCAGCAACCUGCAAAAACGUGAAUAUAAUGAACCAGUGCUACCAUUCCAGAAAAAAUAGUGACAGGAAAGAAAAUCACCGAGAAAAAAACUGGCACUGAAAGAAAAUGUUAUAAAUGACUGAUUUAAUGUU